rnacentral:pre_miRNA from 1 species
GAGACACCCCUGUGGAGCAAGUUUUGCGUCAGUGGGGCUUUGGUGCUCACUCAGUCUGCCCCUCAAGUGUGUCGCU